rnacentral:tRNA from 1 species
GGAGAGAUGUCUGAGUUGGUUUAAGGUGCCGCUCUCGAAAAGCGGUGUGUCCGAAAGGGUACCGAGGGUUCGAAUCCCUCUCUCUCCG